AUUGAACGCUGGCGGCAGGCCUAACACAUGCAAGUCGAGCGAGCGGCGGACGGGGGAGUAUUAUCCGGGAAACUGCCUGAUGGAGGGGGAUAACUACUGGAAACGGUAUCUAAUACCGCAUACCAUCAGAUGUGCCCAGAUGGGAGUAGCUAGUGGGUGGGGUAACGGCGCACCUAGGCGACGAUCCCUAUCUGGUCUGAGAGGAUGACCAGCCACACUGGGACUGAGACACGGCCCAGACUCCUACGGGAGGCAGCAGUGGGGAAUAUUGCGCAAUGGGCGCAAGCCUGACGCAGCCAUGCCGCGUGAGUGAAGAAGGCCUUCGGGUUGUAAAGCACUUUCAGCAGGGAGGCGUUAACCGCAGAAGAAGCACCGGCUAACUCCGUGCCAGCAGCCGCGGUAAUAC
rnacentral:rRNA from 1 species